GACGAACGCUGGCGGCGUGCCUAACACAUGCAAGUCGAACGAAGUGGCGAACGGGUGAGUAACUCGUAAUCAACCUGCCCUUCAGCGGGGGAUAACAGUUGGAAACGACUGCUAAUACCGCAUACUGAAGGAGGGGAUUGGUUCCGAUGCGGUAGUUGGAGGGGUAACGGCCCACAAAGGCGAUGAUCAGGGGCAGGUCUGAGAGGAUGAACGGCCAAAGUGGGACUGAGACACGGCCCAGACUCCUACGGGAGGCAGCAGUGGGGAAUCUUCCGAAAUGGACGAAAGUCUGACGGAGCAACGCCGCGUGAGUGAUGACGGCCUUCGGGUUGUAAAGCUCUGUUAAUCGGGACGCGGUACCGGAAUAGAAAGCCACGGCUAACUACGUGCCAGCAGCCGCGGUAAUUC
rnacentral:rRNA from 1 species